rnacentral:rRNA from 1 species
UACGAGGGGGGCAAGCGUUGUUCGGAAUUAUUGGGCGUAAAGGGUGCGUAGGCGGUCUGACAAGUCUGAUGUGAAAUCUAUGGGCUCAACCCAUAGCCUGCAUCGGAAACUGUCGGGCUUGAGUAUGGGAGAGGUGAGUGGAAUUUCCGGUGUAGCGGUGAAAUGCGUAGAUAUCGGAAGGAACACCCUGUGGCGAAAGCGGCUCACUGGACCAUUACUGACGCUGAGGCACGGAAAGCUAGGGGAGCAAACAGG